rnacentral:rRNA from 1 species
UACAGAGGUCCCAAGCGUUGUUCGGAUUCACUGGGCGUAAAGGGCGCGUAGGCGGCUUUGCAAGUGACGGGUGAAAGCCCUCGGCUUAACCGAGGAACUGCCUGCCAGACUGUGAGGCUUGAGACCGGGAGAGGUGAGUGGAAUUCCCAGUGUAGCGGUGAAAUGCGUAGAUAUCGGGAGGAACACCGGUGGCGAAGGCGGCGACCUGGGUAGAUACUGACGCUGAGGUGCGAAAGCGUGGGGAGCAAACAGG